rnacentral:lncRNA from 1 species
AUUCAAAGAACUUAGUGAAGAAGGCUUUGGUGUAUUUAACACAAUACGUUGAAAUGAAACAAAGCUUAUUUAUUGAUAUCUCUGAUAAGUUACAAAUAUGUACAUAUACAUGAGUCAAAAUAAACAAACAAGAGGGAGCUUUCACAAAGGUUGCUUAGGAGAAGUCUCAGCAGUCGGUAGAGCCCCAGAAAGAGAAGGCACCGGAGGGGGAUCAUUCGGAGCCUCAGUACUGGAC